rnacentral:rRNA from 1 species
GACGAACGCUGGCGGCGUGCUUAACACAUGCAAGUCGAACGGAAAGGCCCUGCUUUUGUGGGGUGCUCGAGUGGCGAACGGGUGAGUAACACGUGAGUAACCUGCCCUUGACUUUGGGGUAACUUCAGGGAACUGGGGCUAAUACCGGAUAGGAGCUCCUGCUGCAUGGGGGGGGUUGGAAAGUUUCGGCGGUUGGGGAUGGACUCGCGGCUUAUCAGCUUGUUGGUGGGGUAGUGGAUUACCAAGGCUUUGACGGGUAGGCGGCCUGAGAGGGUGAACGGCCACACUGGGACUGAGGGACGGCACAGACUGCUACGGGAGGCAGCAGGGGGGAAUAUUGCAGAAGGGGCGGAAGCCUGAUGCAGCAACGCCGCGGGCGGGAUGACUGUCUUCGGGUUGUAAACCGCUUGCGCCUGUGACGAAGCGUGAGUGACGGUAAUGGGUAAAGAAGCACCGGCUAACUACGUG